UGCUCUGGGAGAGUUUAUAGUCCUGAGAGUUGAAGACUGGAUGACUGACAGCUGUCCUUCAUCACAACAGAAGACUUGGAAAUCCUCCUGAUCAAAACCAUGACUUUGAUCUGCGUCCUCAUCUGGACUCUCCUCUGCUGCUGCUUCACAGAGUCCAGAGGUCAGGUCACAGUGACUCAGUCUGCAGCAGUGAGCUCUGCUGUGGGACGCUCCGUCUCCAUCUCAUGUAGGACCAGUCAGGAUGUCUAUAACAACAAUGAAUUAGCCUGGUACCAACAGAAAGAUGGACAACCUCCUAAACUUCUCAUUUAUGACGCUACCCGCCGACAAUCAGGAAUCUCAGAUCGUUUUUCAGGCAGUGGAUCUGGAUCUGACUUCACUCUGACCAUCAGUGGAGUUCAGGCUGAAGAUGCUGCAGUUUAUUACUGUCAGAGUUUUCAUUAUAUAAACAGCCAGAAUCUGUUCACACAGUGA